rnacentral:rRNA from 1 species
UACGGAGGGUGCAAGCGUUAUCCGGAUUCACUGGGUUUAAAGGGUGCGUAGGUGGGUCUGUAAGUCAGUGGUGAAAUCUCCGUGCUUAACAUGGAAACUGCCAUUGAUACUAUAGGUCUUGAAUUUUCUGGAGGUUAGCGGAAUAUGUCAUGUAGCGGUGAAAUGCUUAGAUAUGACAUAGAACACCAAUUGCGAAGGCAGCUAGCUACAGGGAUAUUGACACUGAGGCACGAAAGCGUGGGGAUCAAACAGG